rnacentral:rRNA from 1 species
AACGGGUGAGUAAUACAUAAGUAACCUGCCCUAGACAGGGGGAUAACUAUUGGAAACGAUAGCUAAGACCGCAUAGGUACGGACACUGCGUGGUGACCGUAUUAAAAGUGCCUCAAAGCACUGGUAGAGGAUGGACUUAUGGCGCAUUAGCUGGUUGGCGGGGUAACGGCCCACCAAGGCGACGAUGCGUAGCCGACCUGAGAGGGUGACCGGCCACACUGGGACUGAGACACGGCCCAGACUCCUACGGGAGGCAGCAUG